UACGUAGGGUGCGAGCGUUGUCCGGAAUUAUUGUGCGUCAAGAGCUCGUAGGCGGUGUGUCGCGUCGGCCGUGAAAACCUGCAGCUUAACUGUGGGCGUGCGGUCGAUACGGGCAUCACUGGAGUUCGGCAGGGGAGACUGGAAUUCCUGGUGUAGCGGUGAAAUGCGCAGAUAUCAGGAGGAACACCGGUGGCGAAGGCGGGUCUCUGGGCCGAUACUGACGCUGAGGAGCGAAAGCGUGGGGAGCGAACAGG
rnacentral:rRNA from 1 species